rnacentral:rRNA from 1 species
AGUGGAGCGACGAACCGGGCUUCGGCCCGGGGCAAAGCCGCGAACGGGUGAGUAACACGUGGGUAACAUGCCCCGAUGAUUGGGACAACCCGAGGAAACUCGGGCUAAUACCAAAUGUGCCCUUCGGCCAUAAGGCUGACGGGGAAAGGAAGCUUCGGCCUCCGCAUCGGGAUUGGCCCGCGGCCCAUUAGCUAGUUGGUGAGGUAAAGGCUUACCAAGGCGACGAUGGGUAGCUGGUCUGAGAGGACGAUCAGCCACACUGGGACUGAGACACGGCCCAGACUCCUACGGGAGGCAGCAGUGGGGAAUCUUGCACAAUGCGCGAAAGCGUGAUGCAGCAACGCCGCGUGGGAGAAGAAGGCCUUCGGGUUGUAAAUCCCUUUCAGUUGGGACGAAGCUUCGUCGGUUAAUAGCCGGCUGGAGUGACGGUACCUUCAGAAGAAGCCCCGGCUAACUACGUGCCAGCAGCCGCGGUAAUACGUAGGGGGCUAGCGUUGUCCGGAAUCAUUGGGCGUAAAGCGCGUGUAGGCGGCUCAACAAGUCUGCUGUGAAAGUCCAGGGCUCAACCCUGGAAUGCCGGUGGAAACUGUUGGGCUAGAGUCCGGAAGGGGCGAGUGGAAUUCCUGGUGUAGCGGUGAAAUGCGCAGAUAUCAGGAGGAACACCAAUGGCGAAGGCAGCUCGCUGGGACGGUACUGACGCUGAGACGCGA